rnacentral:rRNA from 1 species
GAUGAACGCUAGCUACAGGCUUAACACAUGCAAGUCGAGGGGUAACGAGAGGGAAGCUUGCUUUCCUUGUCGACGACCGGCGCACGGGUGAGUAACGCGUAUCCAACCUGCCCCCAACUAGGGAAUAACCUUGCGAAAGUGAGACUAAUACCCUAUAAUUUCCUCAGAUGUCAUCUGACGAGGAAUAAAGAUUUAUCGGUUGUGGAUGGGGAUGCGUCUGAUUAGCUUGUUGGCGGGGUAACGGCCCACCAAGGCAACGAUCAGUAGGGGUUCUGAGAGGAAGGUCCCCCACAUUGGGACUGAGACACGGUCCAAACUCCUACGGGAGGCAGCAGUGAGGAAUAUUGGUCAAUGGGCGGAAGCCUGAACCAGCCAAGUAGCGUGCAGGAUGACGGCCCUAUGGGUUGUAAACUGCUUUUAUACAGGAAUAAAGUUAGCCACGUGUGGUUAUUUGUAGGUACUGUAUGAAUAAGGACCGGCUAAUUCCGUGCCAGCCGCCGCAGUAA